rnacentral:rRNA from 1 species
CCUACGGGCGGCAGCAGUGGGGAAUAUUGGACAAUGGGGGGAACCCUGAUCCAGCGACGCCGCGUGAGUGAAGAAGUAUUUCGGUAUGUAAAGCUCUAUCAGCAGGGAAGAAAGAAAUGACGGUACCUGACUAAGAAGCCCCGGCUAACUACGUGCCAGCAGCCGCGGUAAUACGUAGGGGGCAAGCGUUAUCCGGAUUUACUGGGUGUAAAGGGAGCGUAGACGGCGAUGCAAGUCUGAAGUGAAAGGCGGGGGCCCAACCUCCGGACUGCUUUGGAAACUGUAUGGCUGGAGUGCAGGAGAGGUAAGUGGAAUUCCUAGUGUAGCGGUGAAAUGCGUAGAGAUUAGGAGGAACACCAGUGGCGAAGGCGGCUUACUGGACUGUAACUGACGUUGAGGCUCGAAAGCGUGGGGAGCAAACAGGAUUAGAUACCCUUGUAGUC